rnacentral:misc_RNA from 1 species
GAAAUGCGAUAAGUAAUGUGAAUUGCAGAAUUCAGUGAAUCAUCGAAUCUUUGAACGCACAUUGCGCCUAUUAGUAUUCUAGUAGGCAUGCCUGUUCGAGCGUCAUUUCAACCCUCAAGCCCUGGUUGCUUGGUGUUGGGGAUCGGCGGAAGCCCCCUGCGGGCACAACGCCGUCCCCCAAAUACAGUGGCGGUCCCGCCGCAGCUUCCAUUGCGUAGUAGCUAACACCUCGCAACUGGAGAGCGGCGCGGCCACGCCGUAAAACACCCAACUUCUGAAUGUUGACCUCGAAUCAGGUAGGAAUACCCGCUGAACUUAAGC